rnacentral:rRNA from 1 species
GACGAAGGGGGGCUAGCGUUGUUCGGAAUUACUGGGCGUAAAGCGUGUGUAGGUGGUUGUCGUAGUCAGGUGUGAAAGCCUUGAGCUCAACUCAAGAAAUGCACUUGAUACUGGGCAGCUAGAGGACCGGAGAGGAUAGUGGAAUUCCCAGUGUAGUGGUGAAAUGCGUAGAUAUGUGGAGGAACAUCAGUGGCGAAGGCGGCUUCCUGGCUUAAAACUGACACUGUGGCGCGACAGCGUGGGGAGCAAACAGG